GCCGAGCACUCCUACGGGAGGCAGCAGUGGGGAAUAUUGCACAAUGGGCGCAAGCCUGAUGCAGCCAUGCCGCGUGUAUGAAGAAGGCCUUCGGGUUGUAAAGUACUUUCAGCAGUGAGGAAGGUGGGUAUGUUAAUAGCAUACUCAUUUGACGUUAGCUGCAGAAGAAGCACCGGCUAACUCCGUGCCAGCAGCCGCGGUAAUACGGAGGGUGCGAGCGUUAAUCGGAAUUACUGGGCGUAAAGCGCAUGCAGGUGGUUUGUUAAGUCAGAUGUGAAAGCCCGGGGCUCAACCUCGGAAUUGCAUUUGAAACUGGCAAACUAGAGUACUGUAGAGGGGGUAGAAUUUCAGGUGUAGCGGUGAAAUGCGUAGAGAUCUGAAGGAAUACCGGUGGCGAAGGCGGCCCCCUGGACAGAUACUGACACUCAGAUGCGAAAGCGUGGGGAGCAAACAGGAUUACAUACCCUGGUAG
rnacentral:rRNA from 1 species